rnacentral:lncRNA from 1 species
AUUAUAAUACAAUUAUAAAGUAUCGGAUUCAAACUCGUAACCUUCAAAAUAUAGUACAAAAAUUUUGACCGUGCGCUGCUAAUAUAAACAUUCCACCUUGAUUAAAGCUUAAAGCACAAAUUUGUCACGGCAAUCUUACUUGGGUAUGAAUAGAAACAUUUCCUAUAUGUCCUUUAGAAACAAAUAUUAUUGAUGUGUAUGUACAUACAUCCGUAAGAAAAGAAAAAAGCUAGACUUUACCAUCUGGGUAGUACAAUAGAACAAAAUUAUUAUUACCCAACCCACCGAUACAUACAUAUAUAUGAGGUUAUAUAUCAGAGGAAAAAGUGAGAGUAAUGAGAAAUAUAUGUUUUGUGGAGACGAUCUUCCCAGGACAAAUUGGAGCCGUCGAUCUCAUCCUUGAGUACAAUUACGAUUUUCCGAUCAUCAUCAUCAGUGUCGCCGUCGUAGCACGGGCCUUUCCGACAGCCUUUGCCGCAGUAGGCCGGUCCUUCCCCACAAGACCCAUCUUUGUUGCAGCACAAAUUUUCAUUUCCACCCUUUGCAGUUUUGGCUACCAUCGCCAUCAUCAUCAUAAUACUAAUAAUCAACACAGUUUUUCUCAUACUUACAGGUAUAUACUUACACUCUCUGCCCUUCUCUUUUUACUAUAUACAUGCAUAUGCGUACAUAUAGGAAACAGCUCACGUUGGGAAGUGGGUUCUUGAAAUCCUUUUUGGUCGCUGAAUAAUGUUGGGAAACACUAUGUAGUGUAUAUGUGAAUUGCAGAGAGACAGACGGCGGGGGGGGGGGGCUGAGAAAACUAUAUAAGAGUGUGUGUCUUGUGUAUCUACAUAUAUACGGGAAGGUAUAUUCAUGGUGUUGCUCCAACUGUAAUUAUUUGAAGGGAAAACUUCCAACCAGUUUGAAGGAGUAAAACGUUGAGUUUCAGAGUAAAUUAUUGAAGAACGCGGACUCUGCGAUACAACCUAUGACUUUUCAAUGACAGAGACUGGAGAAGUUGCUGGGAAAUUGAAGAUGAAGUUCGUCUUAAUUAAUUUAUUGGAUUUGGGUGUUGGGAUAAUAUUAUUUUUAUUUUAGAAAUAUUUUAAAAAAUAUUAAUCUAACUAAAUUUUAUAUUUUCAAUUGGGUUAAUCUGAACUAAUUUUUAAGAACUAUCAAAGCAUAUUUAUUAUGUAUAUACUCAAAUUAUAACUUGUGUAAUAUAUUCAAUGACCUAAAAUCAAUUU